rnacentral:tRNA from 15 species
AGGGGUAUAGCUCAACUGGUAGAGUAGUGGUCUCCAAAACCAUUGGUUGAGGGUUCGAUUCCUUCUGCCCCUGCCA